CUGAGUUAUCCAACUCCAAACCACUGUGAACUUACCACUGUUGCUGCUUCGGCUGCCACCCGCGAGGUGGAAUGCGAGGAGACCAUAACUGCUACGACGGCGGCGUUGGCCUCGCGCAGCCGAAGACCCUUUACUAUUGUUUUGUACUGUAUCGUCUGAGUGGGUUUACAAAUAAAUCA
rnacentral:misc_RNA from 1 species